rnacentral:rRNA from 1 species
CAGCCGCCGCGGUAAUUCGUAGGUGGCAAGCGUUGUCCGGAAUUAUUGGGCGUAAAGGGCUCGCAGGCGGUUUCUUAAGUCUGAUGUGAAAGCCCCCGGCUCAACCGGGGAGGGUCAUUGGAAACUGGGAAACUUGAGUGCAGAAGAGGAGAGUGGAAUUCCACGUGUAGCGGUGAAAUGCGUAGAGAUGUGGAGGAACACCAGUGGCGAAGGCGACUCUCUGGUCUGUAACUGACGCUGAGGAGCGAAAGCGUGGGAGCGAACAGGAUUAGAGACCCGCGUAGUCCCUGUCUCUUAUACA